GACGAACGCUGGCGGCGUGCUUAACACAUGCAAGUCGAACGGAAAGGCCCUGCUUUUGUGGGGUGCUCGAGUGGCGAACGGGUGAGUAACACGUGAGUAACCUGCCCUUGACUUUGGGAUAACUUCAGGAAACUGGGGCGAAUACCGGAUAGGAGCUCCUGCUGCAUGGUGUGGGUUGGUAAGUUUCGGCGGUUGGGGAUGGACUCGCGGCUUAUCAGCUUGUUGGUGGGGUAGUGGCUUACCAAGGCUUUGACGGGUAGCCGGCCUGAGAGGGUGACCGGCGACAUUGGGACUAAGAUACGGCCCAGACUGCUACGGGAGGCAGCAGUGGGGAAUAUUGCACAAUGGGCGGAAGCCUGAUGCAGCAACGCCGCGUGCGGGAUGACGGCCUUCGGGUUGUAAACCGAUUUCGCCUGAGACGAAGCGUGAGUGACGGUAAUGGGUAAGGAAGCACCGGCUAACUACGUG
rnacentral:rRNA from 1 species